rnacentral:rRNA from 1 species
GAUGAACGCUAGCUACAGGCUUAACACAUGCAAGUCGAGGGGAAACGGCAUUGAGUGCUUGCACUCUUUGGACGUCGACCGGCGCACGGGUGAGUAACGCGUAUCCAACCUUCCCAUUACUGUGGGAUAACCUGCCGAAAGGCAGACUAAUACCGCAUAGUCUUCGAUGACGGCAUCAGAUUUGAAGUAAAGAUUUAUCGGUAAUGGAUGGGGAUGCGUCUGAUUAGCUUGUUGGCGGGGUAACGGCCCACCAAGGCGACGAUCAGUAGGGGUUCUGAGAGGAAGGUCCCCCACAUUGGAACUGAGACACGGUCCAAACUCCUACGGGAGGCAGCAGUGAGGAAUAUUGGUCAAUGGACGGAAGUCUGAACCAGCCAAGUAGCGUGCAGGAUGACGGCCCUAUGGGUUGUAAACUGCUUUUGUAUGGGGAUAAAGUUAGGGACGUGUCCCUAUUUGCAGGUACCAUAC